AUUGAACGCUGGCGGCAUGCUUUACACAUGCAAGUCGAACGGUAACAGGGUGCUUGCACCGCUGACGAGUGGCGAACGGGUGAGUAAUGCGUCGGAACGUGCCGAGUAGUGGGGGAUAACGCAGCGAAAGUUGUGCUAAUACCGCAUACGUACUGAGGUAGAAAGUGGGGGACCUUCGGGCCUCACGCUAUUCGGGCGGCCGACGUCUGAUUAGCUAGUAGGUGAGGUAAAGGCUCACCUAGGCGACGAUCAGUAGCGGGUCUGAGAGGAUGGGCCGCACGACUGGGCCUGAGACACGGCCCGGACGCCUACGGGAGGCAGCAGUGGGGAAUUUUGGACAAUGGGCGAAAGCCUGAUCCAGCCAUGCCGCGUGUCUGAAGAAGGCCUUCGGGUUGUAAAGGACUUUUGUCAGGGAGGAAAUCCCUAGUGCUAAUAACACUGGGGGAUGACAGUACCUGAAGAAUAAGCACCGGCUAACUACGUGCCAGCAGCCGCCGUAA
rnacentral:rRNA from 1 species